UACAGAGGGGGCAAGCGUUAUUCGGAAUUAUUGGGCGUAAAGGGCGCGUAGGCGGCUUGGCAAGUGGAAGGUGAAAUCCCUCGGCUUAACCGAGGAACUGCCCUCCAAACUGCUUCGCUUGAGACCGGGAGAGGUGAGUGGAAUUCCCAGUGUAGCGGUGAAAUGCGUAGAUAUUGGGAGGAACACCAGUGGCGAAGGCGGCUCACUGGACCGGUACUGACGCUGAUGCGCGAAAGCGUAGGGAGCAAACGGG
rnacentral:rRNA from 1 species